GAUGAACGCUAGCGGCAGGCCUAACACAUGCAAGUCGAGGGAUAAGCCUUCGGGCUAAGCCCGGCGCACGGGUGCGUAACGCGUAUACAAUCUGCCUUUUAUCCGGGGGAUAGCCCGAAGAAAUUUGGAUUAAUACCCUAUGGUAUAAGAGCACGGCAUCGUGCACUUAUUAAAGCUACGGCGGUAAAAGAUGAGUAUGCGUUCUAUUAGCUAGUUGGAGAGGUAACGGCUCCCCAAGGCGACGAUAGAUAGGGGUUCUGAGAGGGAUGUCCCCCACACUGGUACUGCGAUACGGACCAGACUCCUACGGGAGGCAGCAGUGAGGAAUAUUGGACAAUGGUCGGAAGACUGAUCCAGCCAUGCCGCGUGCAGGAUGACGGCCUUAUGGGUGGUAAACUGCUUUUGGAAGGGAAGAAUAAGGAGUACGUGUACUUUGAUGACGGUACCUUACGAAUAAGCAUCGGCUAACUCCGUG
rnacentral:rRNA from 1 species